UACGUAGGGUGCAAGCGUUGUCCGGAAUUAUUGGGCGUAAAGAGCUCGUAGGCGGCUUGUCACGUCGACUGUGAAAACCCGGGGCUCAACUCCGGGCCUGCAGUCGAUACGGGCUGGCUUGAGUGCGGUAGGGGAGACUGGAAUUCCUGGUGUAGCGGUGAAAUGCGCAGAUAUCAGGAAGAACACCCGUGGCGAAGGCGGUUCUCUGGGACGGUACUGACGCUGAGACGCGAAAGCGUGGGGAGCGAACAGG
rnacentral:rRNA from 1 species